rnacentral:rRNA from 1 species
GAGUGGCGGACGGGUGAGUAACACGUGGGUAACCUGCCCAGAAGCAGGGGAUAACACCUGGAAACGAUGCUAAUACCGUAUAACAGAGAAAACCGCCUGGUUUUCUUUUAAAAGAUGGCUCUGCUAUCACUUCUGGAUGGACCCGCGGCGCAUUACUAGUUGGUGAGGUAACGGCUCACCAAGGCGAUGAUGCGUAGCCGACCUGAGAGGGUAAUCGGCCCAUUGGGACUGAGACACGGCCCAGACUCCUACGGGAGGCACAGUAGGGAAUCUUCC